AGAUUGAACGCUGGCGGCAUGCUUUACACAUGCAAGUCGAACGGUAACAGGCCGCAAGGUGCUGACGAGUGGCGAACGGGUGAGUAAUGCAUCGGAACGUGCCCAGUCGUGGGGGAUAACGCAGCGAAAGCUGUGCUAAUACCGCAUACGAUCUAUGGAUGAAAGCGGGGGACCGAAAGGCCUCGCGCGAUUGGAGCGGCCGAUGUCAGAUUAGCUAGUUGGUGGGGUAAAGGCCCACCAAGGCGACGAUCUGUAGCUGGUCUGAGAGGACGACCAGCCACACUGGAACUGAGACACGGUCCAGACUCCUACGGGAGGCAGCAGUGGGGAAUUUUGGACUAAGU
rnacentral:rRNA from 1 species